GACCGCGUAGCUCAGUUGGCAGAGCAUUGAACUAGUAUUCCAAAUGUCGCGGGUUCGAUUCUCACCGUGGCCA